rnacentral:rRNA from 1 species
GACGAACGCUGGCGGCGUGCUUAACACAUGCAAGUCGAACGCUGAAGCUUGGUGCUUGCACUGGGUGGAUGAGUGGCGAACGGGUGAGUAAUACGUGAGUAACCUGCCCUUGACUCUGGGAUAAGCCUGGGAAACUGGGUCUAAUACUGGAUACGACAUGUCACCGCAUGGUGGUGUGUGGAAAGGGUUUUACUGGUUUUGGAUGGGCUCACGGCCUAUCAGCUUGUUGGUGGGGUAAUGGCUCACCAAGGCGACGACGGGUAGCCGGCCUGAGAGGGUGACCGGCCACACUGGGACUGAGACACGGCCCAGACUCCUACGGGAGGCAGCAGUGGGGAAUAUUGCAAAAUGGGCGGAAGCCUGAUGCAGCGACGCCGCGUGAGGGAUGACGGCCUUCGGGUUGUAAACCUCUUUCAGCACGGAAGAAGCGAAAGUGACGGUACGUGCAGAAGAAGCGCCGGCUAACUACGUG